AGGCUCAUGGUGUAGCGGCAAUCACAACGGAUUCUGGUUCCGUUGACCUCGGUUCAAAUCCGGGUGGGCCUG
rnacentral:tRNA from 1 species